ACGAAAGUCUGAUGGAGCAAUACCAUGUGAACGAUGAAGGUCUUUUUGAUUGUAAAGUUCUUUUAUGAGGGAUAACAACUGAUAGUACCUCAUGAAUAAGUGACAGCAAACUAUGUGCCAGCAGCUGCGGUAAUACAUAGGUCGCAAGCAUUAUUCGGAUUUAUUGGGCGUA
rnacentral:rRNA from 1 species